AUGGGAAAGAUAAUUUCAACAAAGAAAUGGAACAAAUUUUGUCAUAAACCUGAACCUUACAAUACCCAGAUCAUGAAAGAGUUUUAUGCAAAUUUGGUUGACACCACAAAUAAUAAGGCUGAAGUGGUGGUUAGAGGUGUAAAGGUGUCUUAUUCUGAAGGGACCAUCAACAUGUUCUUUAAGAUAGGAAGUGUUGAAGACACGUACCGAGAACUCUUGGCCACUUCGGAUGAUGGUGAAUAUGAUGUAUACAUUGUGAGUGCACAUGCUCAUUAG